UACGUAGGGUGCAAGCGUUGUCCGGAAUUAUUGGGCGUAAAGAGCUACGUAGGCGGUCUGUCGCGUCGGCUGUGAAAACCCGGAGCUCAACUCCGGGCCUGCAGUCGAUACGGGCAAACUGGAGUGUUGGCAGGGGAGACUGGAAUUCCUGGUGUAGCGGUGAAAUGCGCAGAUAUCAGGAGGAACACCGGUGGCGAAGGCGGGCUCUGGGCAACACGUGCGCUGAGGAGCGAAAGCGUGGGGAGCGAACAGG
rnacentral:rRNA from 1 species